CUUUGUAUCCUGGAACAACACGGUUACUGAAGUGCCUCUAAAAGGGAUGUUGAAGUCGGUGGAGUUGACAAGCCUCUCUCCAGGUCACAUAGGAAUCAGUGAUAGAGAUGUAUCUGGAAGUGGGCAUGAAUCCCGAACUGUCAGUCUCUGCUUCCCUAUGGCUGCUGCUUAUCUCACAGUCACCUUUGUCUUUGAAAGCCUUCUUGACCCAGGAGGAAAUUUAAUGAAUCAGCAGCGAAUGCCUGCUGGCUGAGAGCAGAAGGUUUAUGAUGGAGUAGACUUGUAAUCGAGACCUAAGUGUUAGAAUGACUAAGAGUGAAUGGCUGAUGGGACACACGCUCUCCUUGAAAGCUUCUGCGUGCUGGAGGCAGGACCAGCAUAUGGUGAACAGUAUUGCUGAAACAAACCUACUUUUCUCUUCAUAAAAGAUAUACAAUAGUGAAAGGAUAUUUUUACAACUGUUUGCGUGUAUGUUUUGUUGGUGGGUGGUUGGUUGGGUUUUUUUUUGACUGAAGUUAUUUAGGGACACAUAGAAGUUCCAUUGCUUUCAGUCAGAUAGCAGGUGUGUGACUGCUCUUGAACAGUUGCAUCAGCUUUGUGACAAUUAGGAUCUGUAUUUUCAACGUGUGCACUGAAAGUUUUGCUCCCCUUCAGACAGAAGGGUUUAGAUGUUUUUGAUGCUAAAAUUAGAAUGCUGAAAGGUUUUAGGAACACCCGUGCCUUUGAUUUGAUUAGCUGAGCUCUGAUCCUCAUUGAGGUUUGGUACGGGAAACCUCUAAAUGAUUUGGAUAGCUUCGUAUGUUUAUAUGUUUUUCUACCUUGUGUUGCUGAUAUCUGGCACUUCCUAUAGCUAGAUGGUAUUUGCAUAUUGUAUAUAAUUAUUGUUUAUGUACAUUAUGUUGCAUUUCUGACUUAAACGGAUCAUUACAAAAGCUGUUAAGUUCCACAAAGUAGCUCUGCAGUGUAAAAUGCCACCAUGUAAAUUAUGGCAUAAUUAUCAUGUGUUUCUUAUACUGUGGGCCAUUUGCUUGUACCACGGAAGUGU
rnacentral:lncRNA from 7 species